ensembl:lncRNA
UGGGGACUACACAUAGGUUUAUAUUUUGGAGAUAGGGUUAAGAUCAGGUUAAGGUCAAAGGUUAUGCUUAGAUCUAGUUCAUUCUCACCAGUGGGAAUUACACAUAGUAGUGUAGUAUUGUACUAGUAUUUUGUAAGUGUGUAUUGUAGUAGUAUAUUGUAAGUGUGUAUUGUGUUAGUAUAUUUAGUAGUGUAGUUUUGUGUUAAUAUAUUUAGAAGUGUAGUAUUGUGUAAGUAUAUUUAGUAGUGUAGUAUUGUGUUAGUAUAUUUAGUAGUGUAGUUUUGUGUUAAUAUAUUUAGAAGUGUAGUAUUGUGUUAGUAUAUUUAGUAGUGUAGUAUUGUGUUAGUAUAUUUAGUAGAGUAGUAUUGUGUUAGUAUAUUUAGUAGUGUAGUAUUGUGUUAGUAUAUUUAGAAGUGUAGUAUUGUGUUAGUAUAUUUAGUAGUGUAGUAUUGUCAUAGUAUAUUUAGUAGUGUAGUAUUGUUGUAGUAUAUUUAGUAGUGUAGUAUUGUGUAAGUAUAUUGUAAGUGUGUAUUGUAGUAGUAUAUUUAGGAGUGUAGUAUUGUGUUAGUAUAUUUAGUAGUGUAGUAUAUUUAGUAGUGUAGUAUUGUGUAAGUAUAUUGUAAGUGUGUAUUGUAGUAGUAUAUUUAGGAGUGUAGUAUUGUGUUAGUAUAUUUAGUAGUGUAGUAUUGUGUUAGUAUAUUUAGUAGUGUAGUAUUGUGUUAGUAUAUUGUAAGUGUAGUAUUGUGUUAGUAUAUUUAGGAGUGUAGUAUUGUGUUAGUAUAUUUAGUAGUGUAGUAUUGUGUUAAUAUAUUUAGUAGAGUAGUAUUGUGUUAGUAUAUUUAGUAGUGUAGUAUUGUCAUAGUAUAUUUAGUAGUGUAGUAUUGUGUUAGUAUAUUUAGUAGUGUAGUAUUGUGUUAGUAUAUUUAGUAGUGUAGUAUUGUGUUAGUAUAUUGUAAGUGUAGUAUUGUGUUAGUAUAUUUAAGAGUGUAGUAUUGUGUAAGUAUAUUUAGUAGUGUAGUAUUGUCAUAGUAUAUUUAGGAGUGUAGUAUUGUCAUAGUAUAUUUAGUAGUGUAGUAUUGUGUUAGUAUAUUUAGUAGUGUAGUAUUGUGUUAGUAUAUUUUGUAAGUGUAGUAUUGUGUUAGUAUAUUUAGUAGUGUAGUAUUGUGUUAGUAUAUUUAGUAGUGUAGUAUUGUGUUAGUAUAUUUUGUAAGUGUAGUAUUGUGUUAGUAUAUUUAGUAGUGUAGUAUUGUGUUAGUAUAUUUAGUAGUGUAGCAUUGUGUUAGUAUAUUUAGAAGUGUAGUAUUGUACUAGUAUUUUGUAAGUGUGUAUUGUGUUAGUAUAUUUAGUAGUGUAGUAUUUUAGUAGUAUAUUUAGAAGUGUAGUAUUGUGUUAAUAUAUUUAGUAAUGUAGUAUAUUGUAAGUGUAGUAUUGUGUUAGUAUAUUUAGUAGUGUAGUAUUGUGUAAGUAUUGUGUAAGUAUAUUUAGUAGUGUAGUAUAUAAGUAUGCAAGGCAUCGCCUCCAUUGGCCCGUUCUCCUGACCUCCAUCCUCCCUCUAUUCUCUCUUCUUUCUCUUCUCUCUUUUUUAAGAUUUCUUUCACUCUUUUGUUCCUCCUCUUCUCUCGAGGGUGCAGGCAG